AGUGGGAAACGAUGUGGGAAGGCCCAGACAGCCAGGAUGUUGGCUUAGAAGCAGCCAUCAUUUAAAGAAAGCGUAAUAGCUCACUGGUCGAGUCGGCCUGCGCGGAAGAUGUAACGGGGCUAAACCAUGCACCGAAGCUGCGGCAGCGACRCUSAKGYGUUGUUGGGUAGGGGAGCGUUCUGUAAGCCUGUGAAGGUGUGCUGUGAGGSWUGCUGGAGGUAUCAGAAGUGCGAAUGCUGACAUAAGUAACGAUAAAGCGGGUGAAAAGCCCGCUCGCCGGAAGACCAAGGGUUCCUGUCCAACGUUAAUCGGGGCAGGGUGAGUCGACCCCUAAGGCGAGGCCGAAAGGCGUAGUCGAU
rnacentral:rRNA from 1 species